UUAAUAUACUUUCUUAAUUUAGUAAGACACCUCGACGAAAGCUGCGUGCAAUCGCAAGAGCAUAACAGCGUGAAUACAGCCGUCAAGCGAACUGACUAAUUUUUUAAAAAAUAUUAUAAUAUACGUAUAAUACGAUCGGUAGACUGUGGAUUUUUAUGCAAUCGUGAGAAAUUUAAAGAUAUAAAGACGCAUAGAAUGCGCAUGACAUACGCAAAAACGUAUAAAAUAUUCAAAGUAUACUUUUCAUAAUGUUUAAUAAGUAAAUUGAAUUUCUGCCUAGGUCCUACUCCUUCCACCGUAUUCGCGAAAAUAUGAAUUUGCAUAAAAAUCCGCAGACCAGUGGUCGGUAACAAUAUAAGAACAUAAUACGUUACAAAAGAUUGUCAAUCCUUAUACGAAUACGUGGUGCAAAAUAUAUAAUAUGACAAGAUCUAACAUUUCACAAAAAUUCAUCCAACAACUAGGAGAAAUAAUUAAAAAUACUGAAAAAUUGCUGCAGUCAUAUACGGUAAUUCGGUGCGUUUCCAUCAGAAAAAAAACAGACAUUUCAAGCCAUAAAAUUAAAUCCUUUAGCUCGUAUAUCACGUAUUCAAGUCUGUACAGGGGAAGCUUAUCAAAAAAACUUUACCAAGUCUUCCUACGUCAUUAGCGCAUAUUUUGGUACAUACGUGUAUAAAAUUACAAGACACUGUAAAAGUAUUUCUCCACAUGAGAAUAUCAAACCUUGGUGCAGCACGGUAGCUUGAUUUUUUUUUUAAUGUUUCCCUUCGUUUUGGCGAAGAUUUAACGAGGAAAUUAACCACCUGCAGUUUAACUACGUAAAUGGUUAUUUUAUGAAAUAUUUCUGUCCAAAUAUUUACCAGAUUACCGAAGUCGCUGGUUAAAACGAUAUAACAAAUUAAAUUAUAAAAGAGUCGAAUACCAGGUGGAGGGAAAACAUGUACUUCGGUAAAUUAAAAAUCAGAAAUUAGGUUCUUCCUAGGAAAAUCACAAUUUAUUAUAUUUCUUCGAAUGGUGCAAUUUUGCGUUGAAAAAAUUUUCACAAGACAAUUAACAAUUUCCCCAAUCUUGAGCUGACGUACUACUGAAUCAAUCUCUUUGUUUACGUUCAAAGAAGAAACUCACUCGCGACAUCGAAUGUUCGUAAAUGAUAACGAUCGAUUUUACGUCGACAGGAUUGAUCGCAGGGCCUAUGUUGAUUGCAUAUUUCUCGCUCUACUCGCCGAGUAUCAUAAACCCUUAAAGUAUCGCAUCCUCUUUCUUUUUUCACACGCGACAUAUAGAUAGAUGAGAAGUCUAGUCCUGGUACGAUUUUUUUUGCCAUCUGCUUCGUAUGUAAUUUCGCAAUAUUUUCCUUUCGGCAGUGAGAUUUCUGAAAGGCACGAAAUCCGGAUCUAAUUCCAGCUCACACACGGGUUAAGUGCAAACGAAAUCGCGAGUCGAUCGUUAAUCCCGGCGCGCGGCAACGACUUAAUACGUUGGGCAAACCGUUUCGUGCGCGGCGUCAGCCGUUGAGAACCGAGCCUAAGUCCCUGGGAAAUUACUCCGGGCGGGGCUGAGCAGUAUGCAGAUCGCGAAAUCGCGACAUACGUCGGGGAUUAGCUCGGUGGAGACUGCUAGCUAAAGAGGAUCCGCGAAAUCGGCAGAUCGAAAUGUCCCUAGGAAUCCUAUUUAACUUACUCCGCGGCGAGACGACCCCGCCCUUCGCUAUAAUUUGUGUAAUCGCGCCGUUCGCGGCGCACAGCCCACAGGAUUUUCACUCCCGUGAUAGAUUCGUCUUUGGAACGGGAGACUUUCGGGCUUGCUCACGUUUCUCCGGGAUUUCCAGCGUCUUCUGGGAAAAUUGUUCGUCAUGAGAAAUUCGUUUACUCGCGUUGCGUCGAUAUAGCUUGAUUUCGAGGAUUAGAAACGACUUUCGAGGAUUAGGUCCGCAGAGAAAGAGAGAGAAAGGGAGAAAAUAUCAUUUUUCAUAUUUUAUAAUUUUAUUUUAUAAAGAGGAUUUUUAUACUCUUCUAGCGAGACUUUCGACCGUGUGAUUCGUUUUUCAGUUUUGUGACUUCACUCUGGACAAUUUUUCGACUUUGCCAGCGAUAGUUCUAAUCGUAAGAAAUUCUCUAAUUUACGUUAUUUACAAGCAUUGCUUGGUCACUCUAACGUACUUUUCCAAUUGCUUGAAUUUAUUCUGCGAGAUUUCUCCGAUCUUUCGCUGGAGCUUUUCACCGUAGAGAAUUCAAGAUCCGACUACACACCUAACAACUUCAAGUUUGACCUAAUAGAUUACUUAACAAACUCGAAAUUACGUAUUAUUAACCUAAAUUACGUAUAUACAACAUUUUAUACAGACAUUAUUUCCCACGAAUCACAGUUUUUAGAUACUUUGGAACAUUUCUGAACUUCCUCGCCGACCAAUUUAGAAGAGGAUCAAACCUCUUAGAUACUUGGACGUUAAACGAAAUAUUUGAACGAAUGAUCUGCCAUUUUUAUCGAUGUUUGUUUCGACGCGCCUUUAAAGCACCGUUUGGUCCAUGGCACGACAUCAAUCAUCCUUCGUAAUUUAACACGUGGAACAAUCGACAGCUGCGACCGUAAAUGGAUUUACCGGCACGUAUGUACGGAUGACCGCAAUAAUGAUUCGUUCAAACAGAAUUAUGCACGACCGAUGCCACGAUAACGACGCCGCUAAACGUGGACAAAUCGCUGUUACACAAUUCCAAGCCGGUGACUGGCGUCCCCCGGAACCAACCAUCGGCAAAAUCGAUCGAAGCAGAGAUUGGCUAUCGUCUUUCUUAAUGUUCUCAGUAUUUGAUACUCUAUUGUUAGCUUCCAGAUAGAUUAUAGCGGUGUGCCGUGACAGUGGUCGAGGAAAAGAAACAAAAAUUUCCUUUGCUUUUUAAAAAGAGCGAAGGAAGAUUACUUUCAGCCACCUAAGAUUCCACUAUUCCACUAAGGCACUGUAAAAGUAUUUUUUCUACGUGAGAAUAUCAAACCUUGACGCAGCACGGUAGCUUGAUUUUAUUAAAUGUUUAGCUACGUAAACGAUUAUCUUAUAUAACAAAUUGAAUUGUUAAAAGAAUCGAAUAUUGCCAGUUGGAGAAAAAACACGUACUUAGGCAAAUGAAAAAUCAGAAACUAGAUUCUUCCUGAGAAAAUCACAAUCUAUUACAGUUUAGCACUGGGCCAGGGUUACUCGUCGUCAUUAACAUACCGUACAAGCUCGUAGAAAAGAUAAAAUCUAGUUACGAACACAUAUUUCUUCAAAUAGCGCAAUUUCACGCUAAGAAAGUUUUCGGAUUUAAUCGGACGCGAGAGUCUUAUAUUCGCCUUAACGUUCAUCUACGAUAGCGUUUCACGAUCUUUACGCAGAUUACAGCGACGCAUGCGACGCGAGAUUUUCACGGUCCGUAAAAGUGAAAAGAGGAAGGGAAAACAUCCAUCGACCGGUCUCACGCAACGAAGCUGUCGCCCUUCGUUCGCACACGAUCUAACGCGAUUUUUAUCGCCGGCAGCAUGGUCACGCGACGCGCGGCAAACUCGAAUUCCGGAUGAAAGACCAAGGGAACCGCAACCAGCGAGAAAGUUUCGCGGAAACGCGAUAAAAACGAGACUCGGUUUACGAUGAUGGAUGAUCAAGGAGGCAGGGUUUAGAUCUUACUUUCUUUCCACGUCGUUUAUUCGUCUUGUUGGCGGACGACAGCGGUUCAUAACGACGACGAAAGUAUUUGCACACUCGUGGACACUUUUCCCGAAUACGUCGUGUCUGUUAGGUAUACGAACCAUUUCGAAAUUCCAUCGAAUUUCGCGACUAUUAGGUACAUACAAGUAUAUACGGGGAAAUGAAACGUUAAAUUACGAAAAAAAAAAAGAUACAAGAAAGAAGAUUACUCAAACACCGAUCGCUCGAAAAGUUGAUAAAACGUACGAGCAGUGCUCGAAAUUGCUUCAAGUUUAUAAAAGUGCAUGAAAAUAUUUGAAAUCAAAAUAUCACGUUUUACUCGUUCAAUACGCAUAUUGGCGAGGCAAGUGUUAACAAAGUUAUAAUUACUACACAAUUAAUAUAAGAGUAGUAUUUUAUAAUUAGUACAACGUGUUAUAAUUUCGAUUAAAUAGUUGAAUUUCGCCACAUCGAUCAAACGUCAGUUUGAAAUUUAACCAGGUGGUAAUUCUUCGUUAAAAGCUGAAAAUGAAUGAAAAGGGGAAGACUAGAAAAUGCCAUUAACAAUAGCGUUUUAAUACGUAUCGCUGGAACUAAUUCGGAACAGCAAGAGAAACAGCGUUUCGAACGAAAUUAAUCCAUUCUACCAUUAUUCGCCUGCUGCGUGCCGUUUAAAUUGACAAGUUCCUAAUUCACCUAGAACUGCGACGUAUAUAUACGAUAUCUCUGUUAUAAAUUAAUAUAUCACAGAGUCAGGUUUGUGUUUUGGAUGAGACGGGAAUAACUUCAAUCUUCGUACGAUUGUUGGUUUAUUGUUCACGAGUUGCAUUACGCCUCGCGUAUCCUUACCUGCAUUUACAUUUCUCGGAUUUCUAUGAUAAUCAAUAGACCGUAGAUUUCUAUGACGAUUAACAGAGAGCGGGGUUCUAUAUAAUAUAAUAUAAUAUGCAAAAGCAUUCAAAAUAUCGAGAGUGUAGUAAUUAUUAUAAUAUUCGAUAGAUGAAAUAACGAGGAAUCUUGCGUCGAGUGAUACUUUGCGACGAGACAUCGAUCAUUACGAAUUUUCUGGCGAAACAUGUGAAAAUUCGUUAACGCGUCGGUUCAAAAAUUCUUCUUCGUGUUCGAUCCGAUAUGGUGGAUGAUACAUUUCAGAAAAUUCUUACCACCGCGGCUUAUUUUUCUCGCGAUCGAUCCUUGGAAACGGCGAUGGAUAAUUGCACACAUCAGGAUUGGAUUUCCGAAUCCAACGAUAUUGGCCAUAUCCAACGAGCCAUACAACUGUCAUAAAGUGACUGUAACAGCCAACAGUUGGGCCACCACUUUCGUAUGUGCAGUAAUAUUCCGCGAUUGAUGUUCAUCCGGUUUCAACCUCGUCGAAAAGUAUUAAAAUGCGGUGAUGGCUUUCCACUAUGAUAAAAUCAUUAUUAUUAAAGCUAUGAACAUCGCUUUAGUUUUGAAAAUUUACUUUAUACCCUUUUACGUUAGGAAUAUUAGACGAAAGUUCUAUGAAAAUUCGAAUACCUUUCGACAUACGAAGAUCUAAAUUGAAAUUCGUCUUUCGCGGCAGUCGGCGAAGCCUCUGGCAAUAAUUUCUUAAACUAUUAACUUCACUUAUCAAACUAUUAAAAUUUUCACACUUUUCACCUCCUAUAUUCCAGCAAUUAAUUGUCCGUUCAACUGGGAAAGUCGUGGGGAAUUCGAUUCUUCUUACUUUUACUUCUAUUCUAUUCGUUUAAUUAGAUUUAUAAAAAUAUAAAUUCUACUAAUAACGAUUGGUCAAAAUGGUUACGUACAAUGCUCGUAAUAUGUUCGUAAGGAUAUUUCUCAAGUAAAAAAAAAAAAAAAAAAACUUUUCCAUAUUAACUAUUACGUUAUUCGCAUCGUUUAUCAUUCCAGCUGGUUGAUUUCACAAAGAUCCAAUGAGAUAUUUACUGAUCGAGAAGGCUAACUCAUUUCCCCGAAUUUUGGUUACAUCUAGGCAGUUAGGCUGCGAAGGGUAAUAGGACUUGAUGCAUGGCUCCCUGGAUGCCGGUCCCCUAGAUCUACCACCAUUCGUCCUGCCGCCGCGUCUUUCCCCUUCUCGAGCUCUUUAUUUAUUUAAAGCUCGUCACCGGGUCCGCGUGUCCCCAAGGAACCCGAAUGCUCGGGCGUAUUCCAGAGUUCGACGGUCGAUCAGGACGAUCCCUCUCGUUCCAGCCAAUUCUCUGUAGACCGAUCGCCACUUGGACGUCGUCUGCGGCCACCGCAGGCUGAAUAUCGAGGAUUUUUCGGCCACGGCCGAUUGCCUUUUCUCCUCGGAAUGUUCUAUUCCUUCUUUUCGAAAUAUGAUAGAAGAUUCGACGCGUUCAAUUUCCUGGUAACCACUUGUCAAGAACUAACCGAAGGAAGCUAGAAAAGUGGAGGAAAGCAGGGACAAAAGCUGAGAGUGCAAUCUACGAAAGAAGAGUUACAGCACAACGGAGGAUCCAUAACAAGAAGGAAAAUUCACGGUGAACCGGUAUCGAAAUCCCUUUCUUCCACGACCUUUCCGCUAGUCCGAGGGAUUAGCGAGAGGAUCGGGAACUGGUGAUUUGUAGACGACGGGCAAAUAGAUUUCUGGCAAGUAGAAUUUCGUCGACAAAAAAGAACCUGUUUGCAUGGUUUUGUACCGGAUAUACAUUGCCGAUUUUCUCGAGGUUUUCGCUUCGCGUAGUUACAUAGGAUACAACUUAUUCAUCUACUUGUUACGAAUAAACGCAUUUGCAACGACAGGUAAUCACCGGAUACGGACGCUAAGAGAAACAAAAGUGUCGCAAAAUAUAGAUGAAAAAGAAUAGCUACGCGGUAAAUUUAGAACGAAGAUAACGUCUCGUAGAUCACUCGCUUGAACGAUACGUCGCUGAUGGAGAAGAGAUCUACGCGGUUCGAAAACUUACCUCGACAGGAAAUAUCAGAGAUUUAGGAUAUCCAGAUGGAAAUAUGCAGACUUGGCAGUGUGGACGACUGCGUGCUGAAAUUGAACGUCGAAUUAUCUCGAGAAGCAUCGCGUGUUUCAUAAGGUAAGGGGACCAGAUGAACGAUGCGUAUUCCAAGUGGAGCCUGACUAACGACCAGUAUAAUAAUCUAAUCGUCGAAGGCUGGAUGAAAUCAGAGGAACAGCGUACAACGAGUCCUAAGGCUCUCGAGGAUGUGUUUCGGAUACCUUCGAAGCGAAUAGAGAAGGUUAGGUCAUACUGGCCACAUCCAUAAUGAUAGAGUCCAAGAUGACGGAUCACCGGAAAUGAAUAACUAAUAAUAAUCUUUUACCAUUUCACUCCAAUACUUUUCUACGUGGAACGACGAGAACGGUCUAUCUACGUAAAAAAACAAUAUGCAUCUCUAAUUGAAAAAAUCAUGCGAUUGUUGAUCGAAUAUACACCAUUGCACAACAGAAAACAAUAAACAGAAAAGAAACACGAUCCUACGAACGUAGUACUUCUUCUUUCGACAUCUUUCUCUAUCUACACCGGUAACGACGAUGUUACAACCCGAAACAAUUGCGCGUGAUCUAUUUUGUAUAUGUAAUAUAUACCAUAUAUAUUGUAAGAGGAUUAUUAAAAAUAUACGACAAGCAGUACAUUUGCAACGUCGAGUACGAUAAGUAGGUGAUAUCGGUAAAAAAUUACUUAUUUCCAAAGAAAAGCAGUAAAAAAAUUCCAUCUUUUUUUAUCCCACUAAAGACAUAUUCUUCGUGCUCCAAAUUAAAAUACAAAUACCCUUCCUCGACAACCCAACUUCUGAACUAAAAAGCUCUACCAAACCACUAAAAUUCUUCAAGUAAUAGAAUUUCACGAACAAAAUGCAAAUGGAGAUUAAGACGUUCUUAAAUCAGCGAUUUAAAAACACAAUUUAAAGUCGAGCAGGUGCGUGCUAUCUCUUUCGGCGAAGAUCGAGAAUUUCGAAAUAGACGAGGAGCAACGUUGAACAUCGAAUUAAAGUAAAACGUCGGAGGAACAACCGGAGAACCGAGUGACCAAAUAAACCGUGGACCGAGAUUAAUGGAGCAGGGGAAACGCGGCAGUUUGCUUAAUUUUCGCGGGGUUAAGGAACGCGAAAUCGAAUGGUAACCUGCUGGAGAUUUGCUGGAAACGAGGAAGAAGAAUCGAUUACGGGGUUGAAUGUCCCUAGUUGCUUCGGAUAAUCGAAAUUGAUACGUUUCCCGUAAUUCGGUGACGUUUUUCACGUCUGGUUACUUCCGAUGGGAAAAUAUCGAUUUUUUUGUACUUUAUGGUUUAGAUAAUACUACAACGCCUGCGUAUUUCUCGAUAGCAAAAUAUCCAAUUUUUAUUCGUAAUACAACGUACGAGAAUAUUUAAAUGUUUCCUUUAUACUCUAAUUUCUCCUUAAACUACAAAUUUAAUUACAAAGUUAACCACCGUGAGAAGGCAAGAAGAACUAUAUUUGUGACUGUCGAGAGCAAAGUUGCUUUUUCUACGGUAGAUGAAGAAAGAAAUCGAGGGGGAGAGAUUUCUUUCGUGAUCGAAGGCUGGAGCCGAUAAACCGGAAGCCGAUUAAAUUUAUAGACCAGGAAGAAAGGUCCUUUGUCGUUUCUUGUGAAUUUCGUAUUACAAUGGAGGAUUAAAGUGUGCGACGGACAGGCUCAUUGUAUCUUGCUGCCAGAUUUCAUUUU